ACUCAAAUAGUUUAAUAUAGAAUAUAACGUUGAAAGCGUUAAGGUGUUGAUCUUUGGGUG
rnacentral:tRNA from 1 species